rnacentral:rRNA from 1 species
UACAGAGAUCUCAAGCGUUGUUCGGAUUCAUUGGGCGUAAAGGGUGCGUAGGUGGCGGGGUAAGUCAGGUGUGAAAUCUCGGAGCUCAACUCCGAAACUGCACUUGAUACUGCCUUGCUGGAGUACUGGAGAGGAGAUUGGAAUUUACGGUGUAGCAGUGAAAUGCGUAGAUAUCGUAAGGAAGACCAGUGGCGAAGGCGAAUCUCUGGACAGUUACUGACACUGAGGCACGAAGGCCAGGGGAGCAAACGGG